rnacentral:rRNA from 1 species
AUUGAACGCUGGCGGCAUGCUUUACACAUGCAAGUCGAACGGCAGCGCGGGCUUCGGCCUGGCGGCGAGUGGCGAACGGGUGAGUAAUGCAUUGGAACGUGCCCAGUAGUGGGGGAUAGCCCGGCGAAAGCCGGAUUAAUACCGCAUACGACCUGAGGGUGAAAGCGGGGGACCGAAAGGCCUCGCGCUAUUGGAGCGGCCGAUGUCGGAUUAGCUAGUUGGUGGGGUAAAGGCUUACCAAGGCGACGAUCCGUAGCUGGUCUGAGAGGACGACCAGCCACACUGGGACUGAGACACGGCCCAGACUCCUACGGGAGGCAGCAGUGGGGAAUUUUGGACAAUGGGGGCAACCCUGAUCCAGCCAUGCCGCGUGCGGGAAGAAGGCCUUCGGGUUGUAAAACGCUUUUGUUCGGGAAGAAAUCCUCUGGGCUAAUACCCCGGGGGGAUGACGGUACCGGAAGAAUAAGCACCGGCUAACUACGUG